AUUGAACGCUGGCGGCAGGCCUAACACAUGCAAGUCGAAUGGUAACAGGAAACAGCUUGCUGUUUCGCUGACGAGUGGCGGACGGGUGAGUAAUGUCUGGGAAACUGCCUGAUGGAGGGGGAUAACUACUGGAAACGGUAGCUAAUACCGCAUAACGUCGCAAGACCAAAGAGGGGGACCUUCGGGCCUCUUGCCCUCAGAUGUGCCCAGAUGGGAUUAGCUAGUAGGUGGGGUAACGGCUCACCUAGGCGACGAUCCCUAGCUGGUCUGAGAGGAUGACCAGCCACACUGGAACUGAGACACGGUCCAGACUCCUACGGGAGGCAGCAGUGGGGAAUAUUGCACAAUGGGCGCAAGCCUGAUGCAGCCAUGCCGCGUGUAUGAAGAAGGCCUUCGUGUUGUAAAGUACUUUCAGCGGGGAGGAAGGGAGUAAAGUUAAUACCUUUGCUCAUUGACGUUACCCGCAGAAGAAGCACCGGCUAACUCCGUG
rnacentral:rRNA from 1 species